GUGUCAGCAGCCGCGGUAAUACGUAGGAGGCAAGCGUUGUCCGGAAUCACUGGGCGUAAAGCGCGUGUAGGCGGAUCGCUAAGUCUGUGGUGAAAGCGCCUGGCUUAACCGGGCGAGGUCCAUGGAAACUAGCGGUCUGGAGGCCGGUAGAGGGGGGUGGAAUUCCGGGUGUAGUGGUGAAAUGCGUAGAGAUCCGGAGGAACACCAGUGGCGAAGGCGGCCCCCUGGGCCGCGCCUGACGCUGAGACGCGAAAGCGCGGGGAGCGAACGGGAUUAGAUACCCCGGUAGUCC
rnacentral:rRNA from 1 species